rnacentral:rRNA from 1 species
UACGUAGGGGGCAAGCGUUGUCCGGAAUCAUUGGGCGUAAAGAGCGUGUAGGCGGUCCGGUCAGUCGGUUGUGAGAGUCAAGGGCUCAACUCUUGAAUGCCGGCCGAUACUGCCGGGCUAGAGUCCGGAAGAGGUGAGUGGAAUUCCUGGUGUAGCGGUGAAAUGCGCAGAUAUCAGGAGGAACACCGAUGGCGAAGGCAGCUCACUGGGACGGUACUGACGCUGAGACGCGAAAGCGUGGGGAGCAAACAGG